AGUCAUUGAUGCCAUGCUUCCAGGAAAAGCCUCUAAGCUUCAGAUUGUAAGGAAUCGUACCCCAAACCGACACAGGUGGUCGGGUAGAGAAUACCAAGGCGCUUGAGAGAACUCGGGUGAAGGAACUAGGCAAAAUGGUACCGUAACUUCGGGAGAAGGUACGCUCUUGAUGGUGAAGUCCCUUGCGGAUGGAGCUGACGAGAGUCGCAGAUACCAGGUGGCUGCAACUGUUUAUUAAAAACACAGCACUGUGCAAAAUCGUAAGAUGACGUAUACGGUGUGACGCCUGCCCGGUGCCGGAAGGUUAAUUGAUGGGGUUAGCGUAAGCGAAGCUCUUGAUCGAAGCCCCGGUAAACGGCGGCCGUAACUAUAACGGUCCUAAGGUAGCGAAAUUCCUUGUCGGGUAAGUUCCGACCUGCACGAAUGGCGUAAUGAUGGCCACGCUGUCUCCACCCGAGACUCAGUGAAAUUGAAAUCGCUGUGAAGAUGCAGUGUACCCGCGGCUAGACGGAAAGACCCCGUGAACCUUUACUACAGCUUGGCACUGAACAUUGAACCUACAUGUGUAGGAUAGGUGGGAGGCUUUGAAGACGUGACGCCAGUUGCGUUGGAGCCGUCCUUGAAAUACCACCCUUGUAUGUUUGAUGUUCUAACGUUGGCCCCUAAUCGGGGUUGCGGACAGUGCCUGGUGGGUAGUUUGACUGGGGCGGUCUCCUCCCAAAGAGUAACGGAGGAGCACGAAGGUGGGCUAAUCACGGUUGGACAUCGUGAGGUUAGUGCAAUGGCAUAAGCCCGCUUAACUGCGAGAAUGACGGUUCGAGCAGGUGCGAAAGCAGGUCAUAGUGAUCCGGUGGUUCUGAAUGGAAGGGCCAUCGCUCAACGGAUAAAAGGUACUCCGGGGAUAACAGGCUGAUACCGCCCAAGAGUUCAUAUCGACGGCGGUGUUUGGCACCUCGAUGUCGGCUCAUCACAUCCUGGGGCUGAAGUCGGUCCCAAGGGUAUGGCUGUUCGCCAUUUAAAGUGGUACGCGAGCUGGGUUUAGAACGUCGUGAGACAGUUCGGUCCCUAUCUGCCGUGGGCGUUGGAAGAUUGAAGGGGGCUGCUCCUAGUACGAGAGGACCGGAGUGGACGAACCUCUGGUGUUCGGGUUGUGUCGCCAGACGCAUUGCCCGGUAGCUAAGUUCGGAAUCGAUAACCGCUGAAAGCAUCUAAGCGGGAAGCGAGCCCUGAGAUGAGUCUU
rnacentral:rRNA from 1 species